UGGGCUGUGGCUCACUGGCAGAGCGCUUGCCUCCCAUGUGUGAGGCACUGGGUUCGAUCCUCAGCACCACAU
rfam:Ictidomys tridecemlineatus contig066957, whole genome shotgun sequence.